GUUAUACUCUAUACCACUCUGAAUGUACCUGUUCUUUGAUCUUAGAAGCUAAGCAGGGCUGGUCUGAUUAGUACUUGGAUGGGAGACUGUAGUU
rnacentral:rRNA from 1 species